rnacentral:rRNA from 1 species
GUGCAGCAGGCGAGAAUAUUCGACAAUGGGCGAAAGCCUGAUCGAGGGAUGCCGCGUGCAGGAAGAAGGGCUUCGGCCUGUAAACUGCUUUUGUGUGGGAAGAACUCUGACGGUACCACAAGAAUAAGGGGUUGCUAACCUCGUGCCAGCAGCAGCGGUAAUACGAGGACCCCAAGCGUUAUCCGGAAUUACUGGGCGUAAAGCGUGAGCAGCCGGUUUUGCUAGUCUUAUGUUAAAUCUCACUGCUCAACGGUGAGACAGCGUGGGAAACGGCACAACUAGAGCGGGUAAGGGGCAGACGGAACGUGCAGUGUAGGGGUGAAAUCCAUUGAUAUUGCACGGAACACCAAAAAGCGAAAGCAGUCUGCUAGUGCUCUGCUGACGGUCAAUCACUAAAAGCGUGGGGAUCAAAAAAGGAUUAGAUACCCGCGUAGU